AGAGUUUGAUCAUGGCUCAGGACGAACGCUGGCGGCGUGCCUAACACAUGCAAGUCGAGCGGAGACAGUGAGUAGCUUGCUAUGAGCUGUUUUAGCGGCGGACGGGUGAGUAACGCGUGAGCAACCUUUCCCAGACAGGGGAAUAACACGCCGAAAGGUGUACUAAUACCGCAUAAGACCACGGGAUCACAUGGUUCUGGGGGUAAAAAGAUUUUAUCGGUUUGGGGUGGGCUCGCGUCCGAUUAGGUAGUUGGUGAGGUAACCGG
rnacentral:rRNA from 1 species